ACCUCGGUGGUGUAGUGGUAGCACGCGUCCUCCUUGUGGAUGAAAGACGGGUUCGACUCCCGCUGAAGGUC